UCGAAAGCCGCCGCAUUGGAUUUCGGCAGGUUCGGCUCCGAUCCAGAGAGAGGGAACCACAUCACUUCGGAUUCCAGCACGAACUCUACUGAUUCAUAGAGAUCGAAGCCUGAAAAUUUCGUUUCUGACACCAUCGUGUCCCACAAGAGAAAUCGAGACACAUAAUCCAUAACAAUACCCUCCAUCGAUGAAGAUGGAGGAAUUUUUUAGGCAGGCGAAUUCAUGGAAAGUGAAGACAAGAAAGAUCGCAGAGAAUGAAGAAAUGAAGAGAUGUGCGGCGAUGAUCCAGAUGUAGAUUAGGGUUUGAGAAUACUUUAGAACUUGGAAGAAAUGAGGAACAAGUGAUGUAAAACACAAAUAAAAUCGGCCCAAAUGAUUUAAGAUGGAAAAUGGGCCGACUCAUUAAUUGAUUAAAUGAGGGGAGAGUAAUUAAAUUAGAAGUUAAAUUAGUUGUUUAAUUAAGUGAGUUAAAAAG
rnacentral:lncRNA from 1 species